rnacentral:rRNA from 1 species
UACGUAGGGGGCAAGCGUUGUCCGGAAUCAUUGGGCGUAAAGAGCGCGUAGGCGGUCCGGUAAGUCGGUUGUGAAAACUGGGGGCUCAACCCUCAGAGGCCGACCGAUACUGCCGGGCUAGAGUCCGGAAGAGGCAAGUGGAAUUCCCGGUGUAGCGGUGAAAUGCGCAGAUAUCGGGAGGAACACCAAUGGCGAAGGCAGCUUGCUGGGACGGUACUGACGCUGAGGCGCGAAAGCGUGGGGAGCAAACAGG